AUGAACGCUAGCUACAGGCUUAACACAUGCAAGUCGAGGGGCAGCAUGAACUUAGCUUGCUAAGUUUGGUGGCGACCGGCGCACGGGUGAGUAACACGUAUCCAACCUGCCGAUGACUCGGGGAUAGCCUUUCGAAAGAAAGAUUAAUACCCGAUGGCAUAGUUCUUCCGCAUGGUAGAACUAUUAAAGAAUUUCGGUCAUCGAUGGGGAUGCGUUCCAUUAGGUUGUUGGCGGGGUAACGGCCCACCAAGCCUUCGAUGGAUAGGGGUUCUGAGAGGAAGGUCCCCCACAUUGGAACUGAGACACGGUCCAAACUCCUACGGGAGGCAGCAGUGAGGAAUAUUGGUCAAUGGACGAGAGUCUGAACCAGCCAAGUAGCGUGAAGGAUGACUGCCCUAUGGGUUGUAAACUUCUUUUAUACGGGAAUAAAGUGAGGCACGUGUGCCUUUUUGUAUGUACCGUAUGAAUAAGGAUCGGCUAACUCCGUGCCAGCAGCCGCGGUAAUACGGAGGAUCCGAGCGUUAUCCGGAUUUAUUGGGUUUAAAGGGAGCGUAGGCGGACGCUUAAGUCAGUUGUGAAAGUUUGCGGCUCAACCGUAAAAUUGCAGUUGAUACUGGGUGUCUUGAGUACAGUAGAGGCAGGCGGAAUUCGUGGUGUAGCGGUGAAAUGCUUAGAUAUCACGAAGAACUCCGAUUGCGAAGGCAGCCUGCUGGACUGUAACUGACGCUGAUGCUCGAAAGUGUGGGUAUCAAACAGGAUUAGAUACCCUGGUAGUCCACACAGUAAACGAUGAAUACUCGCUGUUUGCGAUAUACAGUAAGCGGCCAAGCGAAAGCGUUAAGUAUUCCACCUGGGGAGUACGCCGGCAACGGUGAAACUCAAAGGAAUUGACGGGGGCCCGCACAAGCAGUGGAGUAUGUGGUUUAAUUCGACGCAACGCGAAGAACCUUACCAAGGCUUGACAUAUACAGGAAUAUAUAAGAGAUUAUAUAGCUCUUCGGAGUCUGUAUACAGGUGGUGCAUGGUUGUCGUCAGCUCGUGCCGUGAGGUGUCGGCUUAAGUGCCAUAACGAGCGCAACCCUUAUCGAUAGUUACCAUCAGGUUAUGCUGGGGACUCUGUCGAGACUGCCGUCGUAAGAUGUGAGGAAGGUGGGGAUGACGUCAAAUCAGCACGGCCCUUACGUCCGGGGCUACACACGUGUUACAAUGGGGGGUACAGAAGGCAGCUACACGGCGACGUGAUGCUAAUCCCGAAAGCCUCUCUCAGUUCGGAUUGGAGUCUGCAACCCGACUCCAUGAAGCUGGAUUCGCUAGUAAUCGCGCAUCAGCCACGGCGCGGUGAAUACGUUCCCGGGCCUUGUACACACCGCCCGUCAAGCCAUGAAAGCCGGGGGUACCUGAAGUGCGUAACCGCAAGGAGCGCCCUAGGGUAAAACUGGUGAUUGGGGCU
rnacentral:rRNA from 1 species